CGAGCGCAACCCCUGCCCGUAGUAGACAACAGGUGAAGCUGGGGACUCUACGGGGGCUGCCGGUGUGAAACCGGAGGAAGGUGGGGAUGGCGUCAAGUCCUCAUGGCCCUUACGCCUGGGGCUACACACGUACUACAAUGGGGCGGACAACGGGGGGCGAGGGGGCGAGCCGGAGCGAAUCCCGAAACCGUUUCGUAGUUCAGAUUGGAGUCUGCAACUCGACUCCAUGAAGGUGGAAUCGCUAGUAAUCUCGGAUCUUCCUGCCGCGGUGAAUACGUUCCCGGGCCUUGUACACAUCCGC
rnacentral:rRNA from 1 species